GGAAGGCGGUGGCUAUUUUUAAAUCCCACAGCAACAUUUCACAGCAACUGCAUCUGAAACAUGUUUUCAAAUGACUGAUCAGAGUAGUUGGGGAUCAGAUAAAAAAAAUGUAAUAGGAGUCUGAAUCAUCUUGAAAUAGGAGACAAAAGAGAUUAUGCUGAGUAACGGUCAGAAAAAAAUCAGAUACAACAACACUACAAACACAUUAAUAAGAGAGAGUUGGGGAACUUCCAGAUGGUGCUGAUUUAGGGAAUCACAUGAGCUUUCUAGCAUAUCUGAUCUUUUCAGUAAACAGCCGGUGUCUUGGCAGUACAUAUAAUAGGCAGUGCUGGUUUCCAGUGUCUUAAGUGCUAUGGCACUGGUAGCCAAUGUGCUUUACUGCAGAUGGUGGUCUACAACUCCCAUCACCUGCUUCAGCCAAUGAUCAGGUAUGGUGGGAGUUGGACUACAAAAUCUAAAUGGCACCACACUGGCUAUCCCUGUGGUGUCCUGUGUGUAGUAGGUCCUCUGCAUAGAGGAGAAAUGCUACUGGGUGACAAAGAGAAGGUGGAACUGCUCAAAAACUACUUUGCGUCUGUAUUCACCCAAAAGGAAAGCACUGGUGAACCUGGUGAUAACAGAAUAAAGUAUCCAAGGAGGGAGCUGCAGUCUGAGAUAGGAAAAGAGGUGGCAAGGGAGCACCUAGCUACUUUAAAUGAAUUCAGAUUUCCAGGACCUGAUAAGCUGCACCCAAGGGCACUAAAGGCGCUUGCAGAUGUAAUCUCAGAGUCUCUGUGUGUAAUCUUUGACAAUUCUUGGAGAACAGGUGAGGUCCCUGUGGGUUUGAGGCAGGCAAAUGUUGUCGCUAUCUUCAGAAGUCAGGGAAAAGAAGACUCAGGUAACUACCAACUAGUCAACUUGUUGUAGAAACCAGGAAAGGUCCUUGAACACAUAAUUAAAUAGUUGGUGUAUGAGCACUUAGAAAAGGAUGCAGUGGUUACUAAGACCCAGUAUGGUUUUCUCAAAAACAAGUCAUGCCAGAUAGAAUUACAAGAUCAGGGGAACACAUGGCUUGCUAGUAGUACAUGUGAAAAGGAUCUAGGGAUCCUCAUAGACCAUGAGCUUCACAUGAGUCAACAGUGUGAUGCAGCAGCAAAAAAGCUAAUGCUAUUCUAGGCUGCAUCAACAGAAGUAUAGUGUCCAGAUCAAGGGAAGCAAUCGUAUUUAGUAUUUUAAAAAUAAGUAGAAGCAAUGGAAUACUGAUCUAGAUCAGGAUCAUUUUUGAGGGAGGUUGGAGGGAAUUUAACCAUUUGCCCUGACAUGCCCCUCCUCUCUGCUAUUUGCUUUGAAAGAGAAGCUUCAGUUGUUGCCAACGAUAACUUCCUACCCAAUGCAAAGAGCAGGUACUAGUGCAGUGGCAAUGAAGAAUCUGGAUCAGUAUUGUAACAGAGACAAAGGGUUAAGGCUUUCUCUUUACAUGACAUAGUCCUAAUUCAGGGCUCCCUACAGCUACUAUUUACAGCUUUGAAAAUCACACAAUUACUCAUUGCAUGAAUUAUGUCACACCUCUCUUUGAAGAACUAUAUGCUUUAUUUUUCUAGUGGAGUUCCUACACUGAAAUGUUAUAAUAAAAAUAUUUUUAUAAAAAAUAGUUUCUAAAUGUCCACAGAGGAUUAUUUAAGACUUGAAAUGUUUUCAGUCUUCUGAAUUACUUCUGUGCUCAUGUAAUGAUAAUUUGACUCAUGUUUUGUCUACACUACAGAUUUUGCAAGUGCACUUAUUGGUAAAAAGCAGUGUGUGUGUUCAAGAGAGAAAGAACAGUCUGUUACCAUUGCAAAUGAAAAUAAGUAGAAGGCAAAUAUGCAGUUUAAAUAUAAAACCUCUACUUCUUGCAUUCCAUUUGCUCAUUAACAAAUAAGUAGUAUUUCGAUACAAUCUGUUAACACACUAAUUCUUUUGUAAGCAGAAGAAACUAUGUUUCCGAGCUUUUGGUUAGUAACAGAGCUGCCAGAUCCCCCCACCCCUCGACACAGGCUUUGGACCUUUAACAACAUAGCAGGCAGAAAUUCAACAGGUGGUUUCCCAACAUGAAAUUUCCCUGGUGGGUGGAAAUCUGCACCCAUUGAAUCACUGCAUGUCAUAUGGCUAUGAAUAUCUCAACCUCUUGCUGAGGAAGUAGCAACCUUAAACCCAGUAGGCAGUUCAGCUCAGAACAGACUAUGAUUCAAACUUGCAUCUACGGUGAAAUCUGAAAAUACAACUCUAAAUACAUAAUCCAUUAUUUGAAUUGUAAAGCAAUACUCUUUGCACCCAUCUGAGUCAAGGCACCUUAAUCUGGAGGUCAUGUACUCUAAGCUUCAUUUUAGCCUAGUUAUCCCAUAAAAAUGAACAUGUCAAUAAAACGAUACAGAUUUUUAAAUGGCUUUCUUUCCCAGGGAACUCUAUGAAAAUUUUCUGUCUCAUCUUCUAACUGCUUGCAGGAUACUCCCCCCACCCCCAACUCUUCUUUCCUUUCAGAAGACAGUUAUCCUUUUUAUAGAUUCUGUUCUGUGUGUAUCCAGCUGAAAGCUUAUCAUGCCAAACAGGAAUUAAUACAACAGGGCUGCAAAACUUUUGGGCCAGUGGGCCCAUUUGGAAUUUUCAGAAAGUGCCGUGGUACCAGUCACAAAAUGGCUGCCACAUCCAAAAGUAC
rnacentral:lncRNA from 1 species